rnacentral:rRNA from 1 species
GAUGAACGCUGGCGGCGUGCCUAAUACAUGCAAGUCGAGCGAACAGACGAGGAGCUUGCUCCUCUGACGUUAGCGGCGGACGGGUGAGUAACACGUGGAUAACCUACCUAUAAGACUGGGAUAACUUCGGGAAACCGGAGCUAAUACCGGAUAAUAUAUUGAACCGCAUGGUUCAAUAGUGAAAGUCGGUUUUGCUGUCACGUAUAGAUGGAUCCGCGCCGCAUUAGCUAGUUGGUAAGGUAACGGCUUACCAAGGCGACGAUGCGUAGCCGACCUGAGAGGGUGAUCGGCCACACUGGAACUGAGACACGGUCCAGACUCCUACGAGAGGCAGCAGUAGGGAAUCUUCCGCAAUGGGCGAAAGCCUGACGGAGCAACGCCGCGUGAGUGAUGAAGGUCUUCGGAUCGUAAAACUCUGUUAUUAGGGAAGAACAAAUGUGUAAGUAACUAUGCACGUCUUGACGGUACCUAAUCAGAAAGCCACGGCUAACUACGUG